rnacentral:rRNA from 1 species
GUUACGGGCGUAUGGUGGAUGCCUUGGCAGACAGGACCGAUGAAAGACGUUGCGGGCUGCGAUAAGCCUCGGGGAGCCGCCGAGCGGGCUUCGAUCCGAGGAUUUCUGAAUGGGGAGACCCGGCGGCCGUCAUGGGCCGUCACCGCCUUGUGCGGGGGGUACGCAGGGAAGUGAAACAUCUCAGUACCUGCAGGAGAGGAUAUUCCGUGAGUAGUGGCGAGCGAAAGCGGAUCAGGCCAAACCGGGCGCGUGCGAUAGCCGUCAGGCGUUGCGCGUCCGGUGUAGCGGGAGCGUGUGUCCGGCCUCUGACGGGGCCGGCGGAAGUGACAAAACGACGUGUGAGGCGAACAGGAUUGAAUGCCUGGCCGUAGCGGGUGAUGGCCCCGUAGCCGAACGCGCGUCGUCUUCCGAUCGCGUCUCCCAAGUAGCACGGGCCUCGUGGAAUCCCGUGCGAAUCCGUCCGGACCGUUGGAUAAGCCUAAAUAUUCCUGUCUGACCGAUAGUGAACGAGUACCGUGAGGGAAAGGUGAAAAGCACCCCGGGAG